rnacentral:rRNA from 1 species
GACGAACGCUGGCGGCGUGCUUAACACAUGCAAGUCGAGCGGUAACAGGUGUAGCAAUACAUGCUGACGAGCGGCGAACGGGUGAGUAAUGCUUCGGAAUCUACCCAAUGGUGGGGAAUAACCAGCCGAAAGGUUGGCUAAUACCGCAUACGUCCCACGGGAGAAAGCAGGGGAUCGCAAGACCUUGCGCCAAUGGAUGAGCCGAAGUCGGAUUAGCUAGUUGGUAGGGAACGGCCUACCAAGGCGACGAUCCGUAGCUGGUCUGAGAGGACGACCAGCCACACUGGGACUGAGACACGGCCCAGACUCCUACGGGAGGCAGCAGUGGGGAAUAUUGGACAAUGGGGGAAACCCCUGAUCCAGCGACGCCGCGUGUGUGAAGAAGGCCUGCGGGUUGUAAAGCAC